UAAAGGGCACCACCAGGAGUGGAGCCUGCGGCUUAAUUUGACUCAACACGGGGAACCUCACCCGGUCCGGACACUGCGAGGAUUGACAGAUUGAUAGCUCUUUCUCGAUUCGGUGGUUGGUGGUGCAUGGCCGUUCUUAGUUGGUGGAGCGAUUUGUCUGGUUAAUUCCGAUAACGAGCGAGACUCUGGCCUAUUAAAUACGUCCGCCCGUGCCUCGGCGGCGGGCGAGACUUCUUAGAGGGACGAGCCGCGCCUAGCGGCACGAGACUGAGCGAUAACAGGUCUGUGAUGCCCUUAGAUGUCCGGGGCCGCACGCGCGCUACACUGAAGGAGUCAACGUGCCUGCCUGUCCUUGCCCGUCGGGGCCGGGCAACCCGUUGAGCCUCUUUCGUGCUAGGGACCGGGGCUUGCAAUUGUGGCCCGUGAACGAGGAAUUCCAAGUAAGCGCGAGUCAUCAGCUCGCGUUGAUUACGUCCCUGCCCUUUGUACACACCGCCCGUCGCUACUACCGAUUGAACGGUUUAGUGAGGCCCUCGGAUCCGUCCCGGCCGUCGGUGGGCUCGUCCUGCCCGGCCGUCUGGCGCGGAGAAGACGGUCGAACUUGAUCGUUUAGAGGAAGUAAAAGUCGUAACAAGGUUUCCGUA
rnacentral:rRNA from 1 species